GGGGGAUUAGCUCAAUUGUAGAGCGCCCGCUUAGCGUGCGGGAGGUACCGGGAUCGAUACCCGGAUUCUCCA
rnacentral:tRNA from 1 species